GUCUGCCAAUAAAAUAUAAUUCUUUUCCUCAUUUCACAGGGAACAGUCUUCUAAAUUGCUCAGGAGAUGGUAAAAGAUGGGAAAGCUGAGUCGGUAGGGAUAUCACAAAGGAAAACUAUGGUCAAAGCAUGAAGAAGAACAGAAGGAUUUGCAGAGGGGAAACAGAUGUUUACUGUUCAUUUCAUAAUCACAAGGCUGGAUGGAUGUGGAACAACAAAUCACAGCUUCAAAACACAACUACAUUAAAACCAUCCCAAAGA